CCUACGGGAGGCAGCAGUGAGGAAUAUUGGUCAAUGGACGAAAGUCUGAACCAGCCAAGUAGCGUGAAGGAUGACUGCCCUAUGGGUUGUAAACUUCUUUUAUAUGGGAAUAAAAUGUUCCACGUGUGGGUGUUUGUAUUUACCCUAUGAAUAAGGAUCGACUAACUACGUGCCAGCAGCCGCGGUAAUACGGAGGAUCCGAGGGUUAUCCGGAUUUAUUUGGUUUAAAGGGAGCGUAGGUGGAUUGUUAAGUCAGUUGUGAAAGUUUUCGGCUCAACCGGAAAAGUGCAGUUGAAACUGGCAGUCUUGAGUACAGGAGAGGUUGGCGGAAUUCGUGGUGUAGCGGUGAAAUGCGUAGAUAGCACGAAGAACUCCGAUUGCGAAGGCAGAUCACUGGACUGCAACUGACACUGAGGCUCGAAAGUGUGGGUAUCAAACAGGAUUAGAUACCCGAGUAGUC
rnacentral:rRNA from 1 species